CUUGGCCGCCGGGCGUCGGUUGGGCUCCCUCGGCGCGCACCCUAGGGAGGGCGCGCCCCAGGCCCAGGCUAUGAGGGUGUGUGUUUCGGGGAGGCGGUCCCCACCCCAGACGUGGCCUCGCUCCUGGCGUUCGGAAGGCGCGAGGGAGUGUGAACUGGAGCUGCUCCCUCGGCCCGAGGAGCGGAGUCCCCGAGGCGGGCUCCCAGCACGUGCGCCCGGGGCGCCCGCGGCGGGGCUGCUUCCCAAACAGCGGGUGUGAGGGGCCCCUGGCGCAGCCUCCUCUCCGGCCAGAGCUCGCAGGAAAACUCCGGCCUACACACACACCUGCAGGGUUUAUUCCACCUCAAGAAACAGCCUCGCAGGUUGGUGCUGCUUAUUGUCAGCCCCGGAGAGCACGCCCGCGGGCCCUGCGCAGUUUCAUCUUACCUGUCUGGGGGCGCUGAUUGACAACGAAAGUGGUGGUGAUCUCAGCCUGUGAGUUUCUCUGGGUUGCAGUUUGGGAUGCCUUGUUCCUAAGAUUUUAAAUUUGGAGAGGGGAUAAUUCUGAGGACAUUUCUGGAAACCGACUCUUGGCGUUGCCUUCAGUUCACCGUAGGAGGGCUGAUGUGAAGGAAUGAGACACGAGGGAUAAGAAGAAAGGAUUUGAGGUGCUGAAAUCUUCCUGCAGUAUGUGUCCUGUGAGACGUUUCCUAGGACGGAGAACUUAGGAACCCCACAGAGAAGCAUAAUAUUUUAAAGAAAAGCAAGACAAGACAGUGAGGAAGAUUAAAGAUGGCCAUAAAUUCUUUGCAACUCCUCCUAUUGAGAUGUGGGAUCAAAUUCCCCUCCUUUGAAAUUGAGCUGGCCUUAAUGAUUUGCCUCAUUGGUAGAAUGCAGCGGAAAUGACACCAUGUGACAUACAGGGUGAACUAUAAGAUGACUUGCAGCAUCUGCCUUGGCUUCUUUGAUCUCUGACUCUUACAACCCAGUUGCCAUGCUGUGAGGAAGCUCAAGGAGCCCCGUCGAGAGGCCCACAAAGAAAGGAAAUAAGGACACUGUCUGACAGCCCCAGCCGAGCUCCCAGCCUACAGCCAGCACCAACUUAACCAGCCGUGUGAGUG
rnacentral:lncRNA from 1 species